AACGAACGCUGGCGGCAUGCCUAACACAUGCAAGUCGAACGAGACCUUCGGGUCUAGUGGCGCACGGGUGCGUAACGCGUGGGAACCUGCCCUUAGGUUCGGAAUAACUCCCCGAAAGGGGUGCUAAUACCGGAUAAUGUCUCCGGACCAAAGAUUGAUCGCCCUUGGAUGGGCCCGCGUUGGAUUAGCUAGUUGGUAGGGUAAAAGCCUACCAAGGCGACGAUCCAUAGCUGGUCUGAGAGGACGAUCGGCCACACUGGGACUGAGACACGGCCCAGACUCCUACGGGAGGCGGGAGUGGGGAAUAUUGGACAGUGGGCGAAAGCCUGAGCCAGCAAUGCCGGGUGAGUGAUGAAGGCCUUAGGGUUGUAAAGCUCUUUUACCCGGGAGGAUAAUGACGGUACCGGGAGAAUAAGCGCCGGCUAACUCCGUG
rnacentral:rRNA from 1 species